rnacentral:rRNA from 1 species
UACGUAGGGUGCAAGCGUUGUCCGGAAUUAUUGGGCGUAAAGAGCUCGUAGGCGGUCUGUCGCGUCUGCUGUGAAAACUCGGGGCUUAACCCCGGGCCUGCAGUGGGUACGGGCAGACUAGAGUGCGGUAGGGGAGACUGGAAUUCCUGGUGUAGCGGUGAAAUGCGCAGAUAUCAGGAGGAACACCGGUGGCGAAGGCGGGUCUCUGGGCCGCAACUGACGCUGAGACGCGAAAGCGUGGGGAGCAAACAGG